rnacentral:rRNA from 1 species
UACGAAGGGGGCGAGCGUUGUUCGGAUUUACUGGGCGUAAAGGGCGCGCAGGCGGCUCAUUUUGUCAGGCGUGAAAGCCCCGGGCUUAACCUGGGAACUGCGUUUGAUACGGAUGGGCUAGAGUUCGGGAGAGGAGAGUGGAAUUCCCAGUGUAGAGGUGAAAUUCGUAGAUAUUGGGAAGAACACCGGUGGCGAAGGCGGCUCUCUGGACCGAGACUGACGCGUGAGGCGGCGAAAAGC